AAAAAAAAAAUGUCUAUUGAUAAAAAUGCAAAGGGGACAAUAAGCCUAUGAUUAGAUUCAAAAGAAGUAAAAAUAAUUUUAUUUUUUUUAUAUUAGAUUUUUGAAAGCCAACUCUCUCGCGAAAAGUAGUAUAGACUCGAAUUCGUGGGCGUGAAUUUGUUUUUCAACCUCCGCUAAUCUCGAACAAUUCAAUUGCAGGGUAUCGAAACAGCUCGUUUCACCUACCGAUCGCGAUAUCCACGUAUGCAAGUACGUCUAAUAACAGGCAACGAGGGGAGGUGGCCCGACUUAUCGAUUAAUCGUCGCCCAUUGUAAUUUCACUAUUAGCUCUCUCGAACAAAGAAGAAAUAAAAAAAAUAAAAAGAGACACGAGAUACACGCCGCUUGCGAAACCGACCAAAGAGAUAUUAUCUUACGGCGACGAUUACGCGCGAAUACGCGCGUACUUUCUAAUUGCGAGAGCGUCCGCGGAUGUCGUCGACUGGCCUCACUACGUGAUAAGUGAAAAUAUCUCGUAAACCGUUGGCGAGAGCCAUGGCCGACGUGAUUCUAAAGUUAGGUACUGACUGGGAUAUAAACACUGUGUCUUGACAUUCGAACGACACCAGUAGAGAUACAUAAAAUUCAUUUAACUUUUAGAAAUCGGUUAGUUUGAGAUGAUAGAUUGUUAAUUAAUUUACAGAUUGUCCCCGAAAUCAUAGUAUAAACUAUGGGAUGGAUAAUGAUUCUACACGUAAAAAUAAAUCGAAGAAAAAGAAUAACAUUUUUUUGUUCGAGGCUUCGUUUUCGAGUAAAUCAAGUUUGAAAAAUUUUUAGGUUAUAAAUUGAGAAAGACGUUAAUCGAAGUUCAUUUAUUAAAUUAUAAAACAAUUUACAUGACAUUACCUUUUAUUAUUAAUGAAUUGAUGAAAUUCUUCUUAACAUAGACCAUUCUUGUCAAAUGAUAAAAUUUUAUUGCUGCACUAUUUCAUUAUCGUUAAUAAGUGUAUCAAUUUGACAGGUAAAAAGAAUUACACAUGUAUAAAAAAAAUCGAUGAAAGUAAAAGUUUGAAAUAGAAUCAGCUUCCCUAUUUUAAACUUCGCAAUGACUAUAAUUUGUCUGCUUCUUGAGGAUCAAAAUCGAAUAUAUACCGAAGUUCGUAUUCCACUCGAUAAACUUUAUUAACCGAACAAAUCGCACACUAUCAAUAUCAACACUAUUAUUCGAUCGUAUAGACGCCAAAAUUGAUGUCCACUCGUCAACUGAAUUACAAUUAACGAUAACAAUAACGUAAAAAAAUGGCAAUCGAGGUAAACAGGCAGCCAUUUUCUUAUCGUUACUUCCUAUCGAUUCAAUGAAAUCUCGAGAUCUCGAAGAGAUCAUAACGAACGAUCCCUAUAUUCAGAACGAAGAUCCUUAUCUCCAAGUCUGUUCAAUCUUCUAACAAUAUUUUGCCCUAGAUGAUCGACCGCAAAAUAAAAAAGACAAGGAAAAAUUAUAUUUCAAGAAUAAUAAAAAGAAAAGAUUCUAUUCUCUCGUUAUUUCUACUUUCGAUGUGCAAUUAUCGAUAAGAGUCGAUAUCUCGAUAAAAUCCUACGUAAUAGCAAUAAUUACCAAGAUGGAGCCACUUUCUUGUUAGAAUUAUUCAGAAAGAAAUCAAUCGAAAUGAACCGAAUGAAUAUAUACGUUUUCAUUAAAAUGAGAAUAUAGAAUUAGAUAUAUAAAUCAACAAAUAAAUAAAAAAAUAAACAAAACGUUAGCUGCUAUGUAACAUGUUAGUCGUUUAAGAUGAUUUUUAUUUUAUAUCAAUUCACUUAUCGAUACUUUAUAUCAUUUUAUCAUCAAAAUAUUUUAGAUUUUUUUAUAUAUAUAACAUCAAAAAACAUUAAAAGUAUGUAAAUAGCAAUAGUUAAAUGCAAUAUUAUACGAAAUAAAUGUUUGAAAUUCAACAAUUUAUAAUAACAUUUGAAGAAAGACACAAACAUGGCAGCUAACAUAUUAAAACAUAACCAAGCAAUCCGAAAUAGAACAGAAUAAAAUAAAUUGGAAAACAAAUACAUACGAGAAAGAAGUAUUUCGACGACAUAUGUACAUUUUUCAAUUCUGGAAUGCUUUUUUCAGAAAAUGAAAUAUCCAUUCUAACCUCUCAAUGAUGAAGUUGAAAUCUUCUUUCCAACGAACAGAUUUUAGACGAAAUAAAUAAUUUUGAAGAAAUUUACACUGUUUAUUUUUGACACAGAAUUUUAUAUUUAUUGAUAUUACUUUUAUACACUAUGAAGAGAUAAAAUAAAAAAUUAAAUUUUAUUCGAUGUACAGAAAACGACACAGUUCGAGUAUAAAGAAACGAAUCUAUGACGCAUAGAGGGCGACAGUGAGAGGUUAAUAAGCAUCGCCAUUUCACACAUGCUUAACCUCUUUAAUUGUAUAUUUCGAUCUCUCGAAAUCCGCAUCAAUCAACAGAUAAUUUUCUCUUCUAUUAGCUUAGAGUCUAAGAUUUAUAACGAAAUAAUCGUUCAAUUGCCGGAUCAUUCGACGGACAAAUGAGUCGGUUUAUCGGCCUUUAGAAUUCAGUCCAAUCGUGAGAUACGUGCUCCCGUGGGGCAUAAAUCGCAUAAGUCUUUCUAGUCGAUAGAAACCGUACUCGCAUAUCUAUAUUCGCGUUAUUCGGUACACGUAAUCGGUUUGUACUUCGAGUACCUAUUUUCUUGGAAGAAAGCAUUAGAAACAUUAUGCUUUCAAGAUACGAGAGUUGGCAAGAGUGAAAGUUCAUAUACGUAAAGUUACGUCAAAACGAGAUACCGAAAAACUUGUGCAUAAAAACUCGACGCGUGUUAACAUUCAUGUGGCCAAUAGAAUAUUACGCAAUGAGUCAUACAUUAUAUGCUGACAAGUACGAGCAAAUAUCUUUUCAACGAAAUUUCAUUUUGUGUAAUAAUUACAGUAAUAAUAAAAUUGUGUGUGAAUUAAUUGUAAGAUACGGAUUGUUGGAAAGUUUCGUUGGAAUUCCAGAAAAUCAAGAAGUAUCGGUGAAACGAUUGUUGGCAUCCGGUUCCACGCCUUUUUCGUGCCGAUUAUCCGGAUCGUUUGGAAUUAUGUUUCUCGCCUUGUGUCUCCUUCAAGUAUUAAUUACGAGUAGAUAAUCGGAAAAAAAUACAGGAUUAUGGAUCAAGGAGGGUAGUUUGCAUACAAUGAGAAUUGCGUAUAUGAUAAUCGAAGAAGAAAACUCGUUUCAUAAUAUCAGUUUUGUAGCGAAAUAUCUGUGGGAUAUUUUGAUUUGAUGUUGAGGAUAUGAAUCUUGAUUUGUUGAUCUUUUCUAAUUGUUUUAUGUUCCCUUAGAGUAAAAGGAAGAAAUUUUAUGAAAUUGUAUUGUUGAAUGUUUAACAAAGAUUGGAAUAUAAUAAUAACAAAAAAAAUGAAAUUGAAAAUCUUGCACAUUCAGAUGAUACAAUAUAAUUCUAAAGUUAAAUAUAUUAAAAUUUUCAUCAAUUUUAAUUUAUUCAAUUUCUCAGAGAAUAUCAUUAGAGUUACACUAUCCCAAGAAAGACAAGAACAAUAAAGCAAAAAAGAUGGAUUAAAGAAGAAAGCAGGAGAAAGCGAUAUCCUCUUUCUCCAGGAUAAAUUGACGUAACUAAUCCCACACGGCGUUUUAUUAUCCUUCAUUAUCGAAGCACAAAUUAUAAUCCACGAAUAGCGUUUGGCGUUUAUGGAGGCAGUACCUAUGAAAACUAACCUAUAUUCUUUAUUCCUGGCGCAUGUCGUCGAGACCGUCGUUGGAUCGAACAAUGCGUUCGUCCCACGCCGCGCCAUGGUGCACUACCUCGUUCCAUGCUGGAUCUGCUAUCUAUGGGGCAAGAGUAACACAUGUACUUAGUAGAAACGGUCCUGUGGAGAACAUUCUGUGGAAUCUAAUUUAUUGGCAAGACGAUUGUGUGAGAGAGAACAUAUCUAGACAAUUGAUGAGAAAUUAAGUUUGAAUGGAUGUUGUGGCAUUCGUGGGCGUAAUUGUAUAGAUUAUUUGAUGUCGUGGAAGUGGAAGAAUCAUGGGCUCAUAGUUUUAGAAUUUUGAUAUUUAAUGAUUGAGAAUAAUUAUGGAAGAAGAACAAACAUAA